CUCGAGCUCGUCGCGUGGCAGGGUUAAAGUUGAGCCCUCUCCGGAUCAGUGUGUUUGGGGUAAAUCACGCUUCACCUGCACGCGCCCAGACGCUUUUCUCUUCUUUUCAACGCAAAAAAAUCCCUCUGCUGUUGACAACGAAACGCACAACGUCUACAUGAUCCGGGCGACAAACUGCUGGAGAUUGUUUUCGGCGUGCACGAGUUUUUAUUCACAGGUCCUCUUUUGAAGGCAAGACGCAUCAGAAUUAUGACUCACCAGCAGAAGAAAUACUAAGGCUGGUUCACCUGUGGUGGUGAGUUUUGGUUAAGUCAGGGUGUGUAGAGGUGUGUGGGUGACCAGAACUUUUAACCCACCUGCGGCUGAGCGCUGUGACUCAUCCAGACUCACUGCUUUCUUCCGAUCUACUGUCACGUGAUGGACCUGAGCCAUAUUCACAGACCAGACUGUCAGCGUGCAGGACUCUUAUGAGCAGGACCGGUGUGGAGAAGCCAUGAUGCUGAGCGCUGGGACGAAGCUCCAGGAGAUUCACAGUGACAGCUGCCCAUCGGAGCAGACGACACACUCGCUCCUCUGAUGUUCGGACAGGUACAAGAGCGGCAAGGUCACUGCUGAACCGGACAGGUUUCCAGGACACGCCUCUCGUCUGCUAUUGGUCUCAGAUCAUCUGGAGGAAUCAGGCUGGAUGAGAUGUCAUCUGUUAUCUGCAGUCGCCACCUGCUGGUGCUUCAUUAGUUUCCUGAAGACCUCCGAAAAUAUUCAUGCUCCCACACAGUACAACUCAUUUUAGAUGCAUAAUAAAUACACUAUUGAAAAAGUGCCAAA